GGCUUGUUGAUUUUAAUUUCAAGUCAGGCCUGCCCAAUGAAUAGUUUAAAUGGCCGCGGUAUUUUGACCGUGCAAAGGUAGCAUAAUCAUUAGUUUUUUAAUUGGAAGCUUGCAUGAAAGGUUUGAUGAGAAAAUUUCUGUCUCUAGAAAAAUUUAUUAGAAUUUUAUUUUUAAGUAAAAAAGCUUAAAUAUGUAUAGAAGACGAGAAGACCCUAUAGAGUUUUAUAUUUACUUUUUAUUGAAUUGAGAGGAUUUAAAAAGUUUAUUAUUAAUGUAAGUAUUUUGUUGGGGUGACAGGAAAAUUAGCUAAACUUUUUUGUUUAUGCAAACACUGAUGUGUGGAUAUAUGAUCCUAGAUUUUAGAUUAUAAGAUUAAAUUACCUUAGGGAUAACAGCGUAAUUUUUCCUAGAGCUCUUAUUGAAAGAAAAGAUUGCGACCUCGAUGUUGGAUUAAAAUUAAUUAGUGGUGUAGAAGCUGCUUGAUUAGGUCUGUUCGACCUUUAAUAUUUUACAUGAUCUGAGUUUAGACCGGCGUGAG
rnacentral:rRNA from 1 species